CUUCCCGCGGCCCGCGGACCAGGCGCAGAGCGCGGAGCCCGUCGGAGCAGAUCGAUCUAGUGCCUUGGAAGUAGAGAAAAAGUUACUAAAGACAGCUUUCCAGCCAGUGCAGAGGCGGCCCCAGAACCAACUUGACGCCGCUAUGGUUCUAUCGGCGCUCUCAUCAUCAUAGUUAAUUUUUUAUUGUUGUUGUAAUGAUUGUAAAAAAAUCUCUGUAUAAUUACAACUUGUAAGCAUGUCCGUAUAUUAAAACUAAAAAGGAAAAAAAAUACCCGCUUCUGUACUAUCACCUGGGUUAGCUGAGUCGAGUCGUGAGGUUUUUUCGGAAGUCCAGUGAGAAUUAGGUGUUUCCUUUUUUUUUUUUUUUUCUUGUUGUUGUUGUUGUUUGGGUUUUGUUUUUCUUUUUGUACAUACCUUAAAAAAAAUGUACAUACGUGUGAACCAAAUUGUACAAGAAAGUAUAUAUUUUUGGCUAAUAAAUAAACUGUUGCCACUUUGACUACA